UUAUUAUUUACAGAUGAACCCAAAGAAUUAUGAAAUAAUUCUUGGAAUCAACAAUCAACACCACCACUGGACUUUAGUGGUGAUCUACCCACAAGAGAAAAAGUCUUUGUUCUUGAAUCCACUGGGGGAAUCAAAACAAGACAUCCAGAAAUGUUUACAAAUCACAAGGGCAUUUAUGAGAA